GGUUCCCCCAACCUCCCACCCCCCGCCCCUUCAAAACCCUCAGAUUGUUUUUCAGAAUCCAUAGUCUCUCAUGAGUUAGAUGUAUUUUUACACAGUCCUAAAUGCCCCUUAAGCCAUGUAUGGCCAUAUUAAUAUUACUGUUGUACUUUCUGAAACAUUUUAAAUUUUAUUUUCCUACAUACCCGUGUUUCCCCUAAGAAUUAAUAUUUAUAAUACCAGUUUUAACUUUUCAAUAAAUAAAGAUGGUCACCAAAGCUAGUAUUGAUAGUCAUAAAUCUGAAGAUGGCUUGUGCACAUUGUUUUCUAGGAAACAUGGGCCACCUUGCCCUCUUCCCCUGCAUCUGUGUAGUUGGGACAUUUUUGUAACUUCUGCUGUUUAAUUCAUUUUUGAUCAUUGUGGAGGCUCCUCCAAAUUCCUUCGUCUUUUUAUUCGGUGUCUUCAUUGGUUUGGACUGCUAUAACAAACAACCACGGGCUGCGUGGCUUGAACAAUUUAUAGAGACUGAAGUCCAAGGUCAGGGUACCAUCAUGGUGAAGUUUUCAGUGAGGACUCUGGCUCCCUGGUUUAUGGACAGCCUUCUUACUGCAUCCCCACAUGCAGAGAGAGAGAGCUCUGGGCGAGGCAUCCUUAUAAGGAUGCCAAUUCCAUCAAGAGGGAUUCAGUCUGAUGACCUCCUCUAAGCCUAAUUACCUCCUGAAGGCCCACCUCGGUACCCUCACACUGGAGAUUAGGUUCGAUCAUACUGACCCAAGCAGUCAGUCUACAGCAUUUGGCUACCAUCUUAAACUCAGAAGUGGACGGGAAAUGAAAGUGGUUCAGCCUCCAGGACAAAUGGCAGAAAUCAGGGGGGCAGUCGGGAUGCCUUUUGAAAAAUAGAUGAAUGGCAGCUUUGACCAAGCCAGGAACUGGCAUGAGCAAGUGGGGUGAAUAGGAGUUGGCCAAGGAAACCUGGAAGACAGUGAUUUUCUCUCUACAGAUCUUGAGACCCCUAUCAUUCUCCAAUAGCUUAUUUUCUAGAAUCACAGAAUUAUGUAAUAUCUGAAUGUGGAAUAGUCUUAAAAUCAAAUUUUAUUCAUGAGAAAGUGAAAGCCCAGAAAAGGUAGGAAACUGUAACACAAUCGUAUAUUAUGUAUUUAAUUAUGAUAUGUAUUAAAUACAGUUUAGUUUGCUAGUGAAAGUCAAUGAUAAAUAUGUAUUUACAAAUAAGUAAAUUUUGCCAUGUGGACAUAUUUCUUCAUCAAGUACUUGUCUUUUAAUCAAAUAUGCUCAGAUUUACUGUGAAAAUAGCUGUGUUAAUUUUGGAGCCAUCGUAGUACAAUAUCAUUGAGUUUUACUUUUUUAGCAAAUAGGGCUUAGUGCUCAUUAGAAGUAAGGCACCAGAAUAACAUUUUUAAAUGAUUUCAUAACAUGCAUCUGUUCAUAAAAAUAGAAAAAAAAAUCAGAUGGUGUUACUAUGAAGUACUCUAUUAAAAAUACUGUUGCAAUGUAGCAGCUAGAAUAGUACCUAUAACAUAACAAAUACUCAGUAAAUGCCUGCUCCUGGCACUUCCCUUACUGCCUGCCUGAACAAAUCAUGUGUCUCCUCCAGGUGAGUCGCAAAGGCUGGCACAAGAAACAGACACAGAAUCUGUCUUUCUGGGAUGCUGGUUUUAUGGCUAUGGUUCAUCUCCAAGGGAUGGUUUUGAUGAGAGAAGGGAUACAUAGAACCUAAUGAUGUCUCUUUUGCUAUUUCAAAGUAUUCAACAAAUAUCACACAGAGUUAGAAUAGUUCUGGAAGCAAAUGUGGAGAAGAAACAAGCUUAGGAAGUUUCACUAAUUUUUCCAGGAACACAUUGCCAGUAACAAGACUGAAGAUUUGAGCCAUGCCAUGUAACUCCAGAAUGUACAUCCUUAACUAUAAUGCCUCUUGCAUAGUACAAAGACCCAGACAUUUCCUUGUGGAUUCAUAAACACCAUGUAGUAAUUUACGUGAUAGCUUUUAUCAGAAUUUAAAAUUAAAAUUCUAUUCAUGUGUGUGGAUGUUGCCUUGGCUUUUUUGUUAGGGAAUGUAUGUUUGGUCAACCUUUCUUGGUGGCUUCUGGUUUCCUUUAUAGAUUAUGAGGGGAAAAAGCAGAACUGUAUAUCAGUCCAAUUUUGCUAUUAUGUAUAAAAGCCAUAAAAUGAUUUGAAAAGAAGUAAAAUUAUGGUUCCCUUGGCAAGUUUAACUUGGGUAUUUUAUACCAUAUAUAUUAAAGCAUAAAUUUAACAUCACUUACCAUCAUAGAAAAUACCAGGAAUGCACAAAUAGGACUGUAUUCAGUUGCUAUAGGAACCAUUUGCUCCUUAAAACUUUGAGUGGUUGAAAUUACAUCCAUUAUUGUUUUAGUCAGUUGAAUAUCCAUAUAUAUAUAUAUAUAUAUAAUGCAAUAUGCACAUUCAGACUGAAACCACCAAAAGCCUUCAAAGCAUAUACUGUAUGUUUUAAUUUAGUAUGAGUUUGGAUUAGCUUCAUUUAAAGGUAAAGAUGCAGUAUAACUUACCAUGGGAGAUUCCAGGAGGCAUUAAUUAAUAAAUUUUAUUUUGUGAUAUGACCUAACUCAGUCCAAAAAGACAUAAAUCUCUGGUGCUUCAAGAAGGAUGCCCCAGAAAAAGUUGGAGGAGCAGUUGGAGAGCUCUGUCCUCAGCAGCAAUCUAAAGGUCUCCGGGCCAGAAUGGGAAAUGGUACUUGAAACCAUGGGUCAAGAUGGUUCAGUUCUGAGGGCAGAAGAGAAAGGCAUCAACUUGUCCUCUUAAGGGCUGCUUACUUUGAGGCCAAGAGCCAUAAAUCCUGUGAAAGCAAUUUUUUCUUUUUCUUUUCUUUUCUUUUCUUUUUUUUUUUUUUUUUUUGCAGCUUUUCUCAAAUUCAUCAAGUGGUUCAUUUGUUUUUCUUGGCUCUGAGAAUCCAUAGCUGUGUCACAAGACGAGAAGGCAGAGGUGGCCGUGCUCUGGAAUUUCUGUGAUUGAGGGCUGAGAAUAUGAACGCUCUGUUUUUCUAUCUCCUUUUACUGAGCCAGGCCUAGGACUGAGGGUCCUGGAGGGUUUGGACACUAUUAGGAUCUCUAGUUUUUUGUUUUGUUUUUGAUUUUGUUUUCCUCUUCUGUCUCUCUCUCUUUUUUUUUUUUUUUGGAAGGAGAGGAAAAAUAGAAAUGUCUUAUGUGGGCAGUUUAUGUACAGGCCUCUGGUGGCCUUGGAAGUCCUAGAAGGUUUUCAGUUUCAUCAUCAGGCAUCAUGUACAGAGAAAGGAAAGAGAGAAGUUUACCUAAGUCCUUCCUUGAGAUGGAAAGAAAAUUUGGCAAUUUCUGAUGGGUUUUAAUUUUAAAAAUGUCUUUUGGACUGUAGAAGUGUGACUCAGCAGGAGGCAAGACCUGAACAUUUUGGGUUGGUUCACAGCGGCCGCCAGGCAGUUCCUACAGAGGAUGAACUUUGAAGUCAUAAAGCAGUUUGUUAUUCUCGUCUGCAUCCCUCCUUACUUCUAAAACUCCGAUCCUUCAUUCCCUUCAUGCAAAAGAAAGGGCAUUGGCUCUUGUCCAAGUGUCAUAAAAUUGUUUGUCUCUGUUAGAAGUGAUGUCCUCUAAGCACAAAGGACAAGUGACUAACGGAGUUUCUGUUUAUUUAUAAGAUUUGGAAGCCCCUUAUUACUUUCACUCAAGAAAUGUAUAUUAUAUAUUUUCCAUGCGCUAAGUUUAUGAGUUAGGCAAAUGUUGCCAGAGUUCCAGGCCGCAAGUCCCGGGAUAUGUCUUCCCUGGGUCAAAGUAUACUUUCUUUUCUUCUGGUGCUGGUACCUUUACCAUAGAAAUGAGAAAGAUUGAUGCUUGCCCAGGAAGUGAAUGACACCUAGACAAAAUAGUUGUACAACACUGGAGUAUUUGCAAGCCAGUAGCAAAAUCAGUGGGGGGAAAUAACCACAGUUAAAAUAGUUGUUCCGUAAUACAGAAAAAUGAGCCAUUCCUUUCUUCACAUCUUCCUUGAAGAAAGUUUCUUUUCACUUUUAUUACAGAAAUUAUAAAUAUACACAGUGUUAGAGAGAAAUUGGAAAAAGUUUAAUAUACUCAGCAUUCCACUUCAACACCUAACACUGUGUGGCCAAUUGCUGCCUCUCUGUUUCCACCUGCUCCCCCUCUGAUUAUUUUUGAAGCAAUCCCAGUCAUCAUGUCAUUUAACUUGUUAAUGUUUUUCUAAAACAGGGGCUGGCAAACAUUUUCUGUAAAGGGCCAGAUAGUAAAUUUUGCAGGCCAGACGGGCUUUGUGGCAACUGCACAGCUCUGCAGACAACACACACAUGUAGGAUAGUGGCUGUUUUCAGUGCAGCCUUGCAUAUGGACAUUGACCUUUGAAUUUCAUAUGAGUCUCAUUGUCACAAAAUAGUAUUCCUGCUUUUUUUUUUUUAAAUGAUUAAAAACAUACAAACCAUUCUCAGCUUUUGAGUUAUACAAAACAGGUGACUGGCUGGAUGGAGCCUCAAACCCCUGCUCUGAAAGAUAAGAGCCCUUUAAAUAAUAAUAAACACUAUGCGUGAUCUGGAAAAAUAAUCAGUGUUCAGAUUUCCUUGACUGUCUUAUAAUCUUAUUUCUCUUAGCCAUUUAUUUGCAUUGUGAUAACAGUUAAGUUGACAUUUUGCAAGUGGACAGUGAGUGUCUUAAGUUCAUCCUCCCCCCGCCUUUUUGGGAGGUUGGUGGUUGUUGCUGAAACUGUGUUUAUUCUAUACAGUUUCCCAUAUUUUCAAUUUUGCUCGUUGCCAUUUAAUGGCAGAGUCAUUUAAUGUGUUCUUCUGACUAUUAUGUUUCUUGCAAUUAUUUCCUUUUUGUGAAGCUGUCAGCCACAGGUGACCCCUCCUACAUUCAUUGAUUUGUUAAGGAUUGCAGAAUGGCUCCGUGAUAACCAGUCCUUCUUGAUUUAGUAGCUAGAAUAGUCCCAGCCAGAAAAGCUCUCCCAUAUCAAAUAUGAGUUACCUUAAUACGGAAAUAAUAAAGGGAAGAUGGUAGAAAUGUUUGAUACUUUGUCUUUUUCAGCACAUUUUUUAAAAGUAAAGAGAUAGUUCACUGGCAUCACCUAAAAGUGACCAAGGGGUUAUUAGUAUUAUUGUUAUUGUCCCCAGCACCAUGGUCUUUGUCAUCACCACAUUGUCGUCAUUGUCAUUGUCAUCACUGUCAUUGUCAUCAACUUGUGGAUUUAAAUACAUUUGAUGUGUUUUGACCGAUCACACUUAUUAUCUUUAUCUCAGCUCAAAUAAAUGGAACUUACUCAGGUGGGUGACCCCUGUCCUAGGCCAUGCUAGGUGGCUUUCUUACUUUCUGGUGUGACAAUAUAUUCCAGGCUUAUGUUUUACAUUUUCCACCUCAAUGACCUAGAGUCAGCCAUUUUUCCAGGGAGCCCUGGUUCUUGUUUAGUGGGAACUGAUCAAUGGAAAUUACAGUCUGAGCAUAAGAGGUACUCAUUACUAUGCUCUUUGGUCCCUGGAUCUUCCCAUUGGGCAGAGCUAGGAUAUAUACCUAUUCACACAGUUAAAAACAUGUCUUGAGAUCAUAUUGACAAUUUCUUUU